UUUUAAAAAAACGUUGACGGUCACGUGUCACGUUCUGAUUAGACAUUAACAACAAUAAUGCAUUUUUAUCGUCCAAUUAAAACAUGACACACGUAACAAGUUUCUUUA
rfam:Glycine max cultivar Williams 82 chromosome 13, whole genome shotgun sequence.